rnacentral:rRNA from 1 species
GACGAACGCUGGCGGCGUGCCUAACACAUGCAAGUUGAGCGACGAACCAGGGCUUGCCCUGGGGCAAAGCAGCGAACGGGUGAGUAACACGUGGGUAACCUACCCCGAUAACCGGGACAACCCGAGGAAACUCGGGCUAAUACCGGAUGUGCUUACUGGACUUCGGUUCAGUGCGUAAAGGAAGCUUCGGCCUCCGUAUCGGGAGGGGCCCGCGGCCCAUUAGUUUGUUGGUGAGGUAACGGCUCACCAAGACCGCGAUGGGUAGCUGGUCUGAGAGGACGAUCAGCCACACUGGGACUGAGACACGGCCCAGACUCCUACGGGAGGCAGCAGUGGGGAAUCUUGCGCAAUGCGCGAAAGCGUGACGCAGCAACGCCGCGUGGGGGAAGAAGGCCUUCGGGUUGUAAACCCCUUUCAGGAGGGACGAAGGUUCGGCGGUGAAUAGCCGUCCGGACUGACGGUACCUCCACAAGAAGCCCCGGCUAACUACGU